ensembl:lncRNA
CCCCGCACCGCCAUCACGAGGAGCCGACCGAAUCAGAUCCCAGCGCGGCUCUCCGCCUUGUUUUUGGCUGGGCGGCUUGCCGUGGCGACCUGAUGAUGACGGGAAGGGGGUGCCUGGCGUUGCGAGAGCGCAUGGCUGGAGCCCCACUGAUUCCUGGAAAAACCUGUACCUGUAGGCACUGGUGAUAAAAUGGCUUGGAGGGCUCUUCCGUGGAUGACUGGGGACAACUGGGACAGUUGAUUAUUUCAUACAAAACAGAGAAAGAAGCUGAAAGAGCCCCACUCCAGAAGAACUUGCCCAGUGGCUAAUCUCC